rnacentral:rRNA from 1 species
UUAAGUGACUAAGCGUACAAGGUGGAUGCCUUGGCAAUCAGAGGCGAAGAAGGACGUGCUAAUCUGCGAAAAGCUUGGAUGAGUCGAUAAGAGGCGUUUAAUCCAAGAUAUCCGAAUGGGGAAACCCAGUAGAUGAAGAAUCUACUAUCAACAAGUGAAUACAUAGUUUGUUGAGGCAAACCGGGAGAACUGAAACAUCUAAGUACCCCGAGGAAAAGAAAUCAACCGAGAUUUCGUUAGUAGCGGCGAGCGAACGCGAAGGAGCCUGUUAGUGAUAAUGACAGAGACAGAGGAACAAGCUGGGAAGCUUAGCGACACAGGGUGAUAGCCCCGUACUCGAAGUCCAGGUCAUGGUACUAAGCUAACGAUAAGUAGGGCGGGACACGUGAUAUCCUGUUUGAAGAUGGGGGGACCAUCCUCCAAGGCUAAAUACUCCUGAUUGACCGAUAGUGAACCAGUACUGUGAAGGAAAGGCGAAAAGAACCCCGGUGAGGGGAGUGAAAUAGAACCUGAAACCUUGUACGUACAAGCAGUGGGAGCCUGAAAGGGUGACUGCGUACCUUUUGUAUAAUGGGUCAGCGACUUAUAUUUUGUAGCGAGGUUAACCGAAUAGGGGAGCCGAAGGGAAACCGAGUCUUAACUGGGCGAAUAGUUGCAAGGUAUAGACCCGAAACCCGGUGAUCUAGCCAUGGGCAGGUUGAAGGUUGGGUAACACUAACUGGAGGACCGAACCGACUAAUGUUGAAAAAUUAGCGGAUGACUUGUGGCUGGGGGUGAAAGGCCAAUCAAACCGGGAGAUAGCUGGUUCUCCCCGAAAUCUAUUUAGGUAGAGCCUUGAGCGGACACCUUUGGGGGUAGAGCACUGUUUCGGCUAGGGGUCCAUCCCGGAUUACCAACCCGAUGCAAACUACGAAUACCAAAGAGUGAUACUCAGGAGACACACGGCGGGUGCUAACGUCCGUCGUGGAGAGGGAAACAACCCAGACCGCCAGCUAAGGUCCCCAAGUCUAUAUUAAGUGGGAAACGAAGUGGGAAGGCUUAGACAGCUAGGAUGUUGGCUUAGAAGCAGCCAUCAUUUAAAGAAAGCGUAAUAGCUCACUAGUCGAGUCGGCCUGCGCGGAAGAUGUAACGGGGCUGAAAUAUAGCACCGAAGCUGCGGCAUCAGGCGUAUCACUAAUACGCCUUACGAUUAACAACAUGGAAUGACGCGAAGCGACAUGAAAUGUUGUUCAAGCAACCCGAACGUUGAGUCGGGCAUCUUUGAGUGAGGAUUAUUAGUGAUACGUCUGUUGGGUAGGGGAGCGUUCUGUAAGCGGAUGAAGGUUAAUCGAGAGGUUAGCUGGACGUAUCAGAAGUGCGAAUGCUGACAUAAGUAACGAUAAAACGGGUGAAAAACCCGUUCGCCGGAAGACCAAGGGUUCCUGUCCAACGUUAAUCGGGGCAGGGUGAGUCGGCCCCUAAGGCGAGGCUGAAGAGCGUAGUCGAUGGGAAACAGGUUAAUAUUCCUGUACUUGGUAAAGCUGCGAUGUGGGGACGGAGUAGGUUAGGUUAUCGCACUGUUGGAUAUGUGCGUUUAAGUUGGUAGGUGGGAAGUUUAGGCAAAUCCGGACUUCCUUAACACUGAGAGAUGAUGACGAGGCUCUACGGAGCUGAAGUAACUGAUACCACACUUCCAGGAAAAGCCACUAAGCGAAAGGCUUUACUAAACCGUACUGAAAACCGACACAGGUGGUCAGGUAGAGAAUACUCAGGCGCUUGAGAGAACUCGGGUGAAGGAACUAGGCAAAAUAGCACCGUAACUUCGGGAGAAGGUGCGCCGGCGUAGAUUGUAAGGGCUAGCCCCUGAAGGUUGAACCGGUCGAAGAUACCAGCUGGCUGCAACUGUUUAUUAAAAACACAGCACUCUGCAAACACGAAAGUGGACGUAUAGGGUGUGAUGCCUGCCCGGUGCUGGAAGGUUAAUUGAUGGUGUAAUCGAAAGAGAAGCUCCUGAUCGAAGCCCCAGUAAACGGCGGCCGUAACUAUAACGGUCCUAAGGUAGCGAAAUUCCUUGUCGGGUAAGUUCCGACCUGCACGAAUGGCAUAAUGAUGGCCAGGCUGUCUCCACCCGAGACUCAGUGAAAUUGAAAUCGCCGUGAAGAUGCGGUGUACCCGCGGCUAGACGGAAAGACCCCGUGAACCUUUACUAUAGCUUGACACUGAACAUUGAAUUUUGAUGUGUAGGAUAGGUGGGAGACUAUGAAGAUGAUACGCCAGUAUUGUUGGAGUCGUCCUUGAAAUACCACCCUUUAACGUUUGAUGUUCUAACGAAGAUUACGAAACGUGGUCUCGGACAGUGUCUGGUGGGUAGUUUGACUGGGGCGGUCUCCUCCCAAAGAGUAACGGAGGAGCACGAAGGUUUGCUAAUCACGGUCGGACAUCGUGAGGUUAGUGCAAUGGUAUAAGCAAGCUUAACUGCGAGACAGACAAGUCGAGCAGGUACGAAAGUAGGUCAUAGUGAUCCGGUGGUUCUGAAUGGAAGGGCCAUCGCUCAACGGAUAAAAGGUACUCCGGGGAUAACAGGCUGAUACCGCCCAAGAGUUCAUAUCGACGGCGGUGUUUGGCACCUCGAUGUCGGCUCAUCACAUCCUGGGGCUGAAGUAGGUCCCAAGGGUAUGGCUGUUCGCCAUUUAAAGUGGUACGCGAGCUGGGUUUAGAACGUCGUGAGACAGUUCGGUCCCUAUCUGCCGUGGGCGUUGGAGAAUUGGUUGGGGCUGCUCCUAGUACGAGAGGACCGGAGUGGACGCACCACUGGUGUUCCGGUUGUGUCGCCAGACGCAUUGCCGGGUAGCUAAGUGCGGAAGAGAUAAGUGCUGAAAGCAUCUAAGCACGAAACUUGCCAAGAGAUGAGUUCUCCCACACAUCAAGUGUGUAAGGGUUGUUUAAGACUAAGACGUAGAUAGGCAGGGUGUGUAAGUGAUGUGAGUCAUUGAGCUAACCUGUACUAAUUGCCCGAGAGGCUUAACUAU